rnacentral:lncRNA from 1 species
AAUUUGAUAAAUCCUUUGUUAUCCAUUUUGGUUUCCAUUAUUAUGGUGAAUCCCUUGGAGUCAAAGUUCUAUGCAAUAACUUAAAGAAUUCCUUUUUUUUUUUUUCAUUUUUUCACAGGUUCCAAGCCUCUCUGUCUUCCUGAAAUUCUGAGACAUCUUGACUGUCCUUGGGCAGCUUCACUGGGUUUGACAGCUGAGAAAGAGACUAUUUAGGACUAGUUGACUAUGACUGAUUCCUGGAAAUGAGUAGUGGCCUCCUUAUGUGAUAAAUGGAAGCUGGGGUAAUGAAGCAGCUCUAUUCAAAGUGAUCAGUCACUGUAGCAUCUGAAUAGACCAAAAGGCAUAAGACAGAAGAUCUACAACUAAUUUGGGCCUGAUAUUAGCAUUUAUUUGGCAUGGAUGCAAGGGGAAGUUGGAAGAGAGCCAGCUGUUAAACAUUUCCCUACACAUCUUUGGAUUAAACAAAAGAAGAAAAUGUCCCUUAUGGACAAAAAUAGUUAA